rnacentral:rRNA from 1 species
CUCAUGCAGUCGAGCGGGGGAAGGUAGCUUGCUACCGGACCUAGCGGCGGACGGGUGAGUAAUGCUUAGGAAUCUGCCUAUUAGUGGGGGACAACAUCUCGAAAGGGAUGCUAAUACCGCAUACGUCCUACGGGAGAAAGCAGGGGAUCUUCGGACCUUGCGCUAAUAGAUGAGCCUAAGUCGGAUUAGCUAGUUGGUGGGGUAAAGGCCUACCAAGGCGACGAUCUGUAGCGGGUCUGAGAGGAUGAUCCGCCACACUGGGACUGAGACACGGCCCAGACUCCUACGGGAGGCAGCAGUGGGGAAUAUUGGACAAUGGGGGGAACCCUGAUCCAGCCAUGCCGCGUGUGUGAAGAAGGCCUUAUGGUUGUAAAGCACUUUAAGCGAGGAGGAGGCUACUCUAGUUAAUACCUAGAGAUAGUGGACGUUACUCGCAGAAUAAGCACCGGCUAACUCUGUGCCAGCAGCCGCGGUAAUACAGAGGGUGCGAGCGUUAAUCGGAUUUACUGGGCGUAAAGCGUGCGUAGGCGGCUUAUUAAGUCGGAUGUGAAAUCCCCGAGCUUAACUUGGGAAUUGCAUUCGAUACUGGUGAGCUAGAGUAUGGGAGAGGAUGGUAGAAUUCCAGGUGUAGCGGUGAAAUGCGUAGAGAUCUGGAGGAAUACCGAUGGCGAAGGCAGCCAUCUGGCCUAAUACUGACGCUGAGGUACGAAAGCAUGGGGAGCAAACAGGAUUAGAUACCCUGGUAGUCCAUGCCGUAAACGAUGUCUACUAGCCGUUGGGGCCUUUGAGGCUUUAGUGGCGCAGCUNACGCGAUAAGUAGACCGCCUGGGGAGUACGGUCGCAAGACUAAAACUCAAAUGAAUUGACGGGGGCCCGCACAAGCGGUGGAGCAUGUGGUUUAAUUCGAUGCAACGCGAAGAACCUUACCUGGCCUUGACAUACUAGAAACUUUCCAGANAUGGAUUGGUGCCUUCGGGAAUCUAGAUACGGUGCUGCAUGGCUGUCGUCAGCUCGGUCGUGA